AUUGAACGAUGGCGGCAGGCCUAACACAUGCAAGUCGAGCGGAGCGGCGGACGGGUGCGUAAUGCCUAGGAAUCUGCCUGGUAGUGGGGGAUAACGUACGGAAACGGGCGCUAAUACCGCAUACUAUCAGAUGAGCCUAGGUCGGAUUAGCUAGUUGGUGGGGUAAAGGCCUACCAAGGCGACGAUCCGUAACUGGUCUGAGAGGAUGAUCAGUCACACUGGAACUGAGAAACGGUCCAGAUUCCUACGGGAUGCAGCAGUGGGGAAUAUUGGACAAUGGGCGAACGCCUGAUCCAGCCAUGACUCGUGUGGGAAGAAGGUCUUCGGAUUGGAAAGCACUUGAAGUUGGGAGGCGUUACCACCAGAAUAAGCACCGGCUUACUUCGUGCCAGCAGCCGCGGUAAUAC
rnacentral:rRNA from 1 species